UACGAAGGGGGCUAGCGUUGUUCGGAAUUACUGGGCGUAAAGGGCGCGUAGGCGGCUUGGCAAGUUGGGUGUGAAAGCCCAGGGCUCAACCCUGGAAUUGCACUCAAGACUGCUUUGCUUGAAUUCGGUAGAGGUGGUGGAAUUCCCAGUGUAGAGGUGAAAUUCGUAGAGAUUGGGAAGAACACCCGUGGCGAAGGCGGCCAACUGGACCGACAUUGACGCUGAGGCGCGAAAGCGUGGGGAUCAAACAGG
rnacentral:rRNA from 1 species